UACGUAGGGUGCAAACGUUGUUCGGAAUCACUGGGCAUAAAGAGCGCGUAGGCGGUCUAAUAAGUCCUGUGUGAAAGCCCCCGGCUCAACCGGGGAAUUGCACAGGAUACUGUUGGGCUAGAGUACAGGAGGGGAGAGCGGAAUUCCUGGUGGAGCGGUGAAAUGCGUAGAUAUCAGGAGGAACGCCAGUGGCGAAAGCGGCUCUCUGGUCUGUUACUGACGCUGAGGUGCGAAAGCUAGGGGAGCAAACGGG
rnacentral:rRNA from 1 species